UAAUUUUCCAAAUUUGAACUAAUCUAGUACUAUUAUCAUUUAUUGCAUCUGGGUCCACUUUGCUUCUCCAGAUUGUAAUAUAGGCCCCUACAAAAUUUAAAAUCUAGAAAAUAGUACCCAUAACUUUUGCUAUUAUAACUUUCAUAUUCAUAUCUUUAUAUAAUAUAAUAUAUUUUGCAAUUUUAUCAACAAAGAUUGUUGAGUCUCCAGUCCAAUCUAACUUCAUUGGGUCCCACAAUAUGCUGACAUGGCUUGUUGAAUACGAUGACGUGGCUGUUUACCAUAAACGCCGUGACCCGCUCCGAAACCCGAAUGUCUUCCAUCUUCAAUUCCUGCAGUCUCUUCACGUACUCCGGCGCGUGCAUCAGAUCCCACACCACCCCAACGCCGCCGGGUUUCAGCACCCUCACCACCUCACCCAACACCCUCAUCCUCUCCGCCGCCGCUACCGCUGUUUUCUGACCAAACUCCUUCCCCACCGUGUGCACAAACGCCGCCGACGCCACCACGUCGAAGUAGUUAUCACUGAACGGAAGUUUCCUCGGGUCACCUGACCGGCACGUUACAUACUCCUGAACACCUUCAAUCCCUGCAGUUCGUAGAGUAGACAGAGAACAAUUCGGUGUUGGAUGUAACCCGACGACCCGACCGGAUGACCCGGAUUUCUUCAGCUGUAGAGCGACGGCGUUGAGGAGGAUCCCUCUGCCACAGCCAAGGUCAAGCGCAUGCUUAACGGAAGACCAAUCACCGACGGCGUUCACCAUCCUCUGUGCCAUUUCCCAGUGAAGCGAAACGGAGGAGUAAAAAAUGUUGCCGGCGGCGUAGAAAAGGCAAACCGCAGAGAGUGCUGUGACGGAACCGGUGAAUCCAGCGGCGAAACGAGCUGAACUUGGUCCAGGUAAAAAAUGGUGGAAGAAAUAGCAGAUAGGUUCAAAAUAAACUAGAAAAAUCACAGACAGUACAGAGAAGAAAAUAGCAUGAAUUAGCAGAAACAUCGGUGUUUGCCAAUCAUCAACACCGUAAAUUGAAUAGAUCUGUCCCCAAUCUCUACCAGCUUUCCCCAUUCUUAAACUCAAUCAACAAUUCGUCAUAGAAACUUCAAAAAUAGUGAUUUUAACAGAUCCUAGAGCAAUUAAACAAACUGUUCAUAUAAUGGAUUGAAAAAAAAUAGAAUGCUGAUGUAAAUGCCGCGUUUGUUAGUUUGAUUCGUCAGAUAAUGGAGACUACUCUUUUUGAUG
rnacentral:misc_RNA from 1 species